AGAGUUUGAUCCUGGCUCAGAUUGAGCGCUGGCGGCAGGCUUAACACAUGCAAGUCGAGCGGAGUGCUGGUGCUUGCACUAUCACUUAGCGGCGGACGGGUGAGUAAUGCUUAGGAAUCUGCCUAUUAGUGGGGGACAACAUUUCGAAAGGAAUGCUAAUACCGCAUACGUCCUACGGGAGAAAGCACGGGAUCUUCGGACCUUGCGCUAAUAGAUGAGCCUAAGUCGGAUUAGCUAGUUGGUGGGGUAAAGGCCUACCAAGGCGACGAUCUGUAGCGGGUCUGAGAGGAUGAUCCGCCACUCUGGGACUGAGACACGGCCCAGACUCCUACGGGAGGCAGCAGUGGGGAAUAUUGGACAAUGGGCGCAAGCCUGAUCCAGCCAUGCCGCGUGUGUGAAGAAGGCCUUAUGGUUGUAAAGCACAUUAAGCGAGGAGGAGGCUACUGAAGUUAAUACCUUCAGAUAGUGGACGUUACUCGCARAAUAAGCACCGGCUAACUCUGUGCCAGCAGCCGCGGUAAUACAGAGGGUGCAAGCGUUAAUCGGAUUUACUGGGCGUAAAGCGCGCGUAGGCGGCUAAUUAAGUCAAAUGUGAAAUCCCCGAGCUUAACUUGGGAAUUGCAUUCGAUACUGGUUAGCUAGAGUGUGGGAGAGGAUGGUAGAAUUCCAGGUGUAGCGGUGAAAUGCGUAGA
rnacentral:rRNA from 1 species